GCUGGGUGUGGUGGCACACGCCUGUAGUCCUAGCUACUUGGGAGGCUGAGGCAGGAGAAUUGCUUGAACCUGGGAGGCGGAGGUUGUAGUGAGCCAACAUUGUGCCACUGUACUCCCGCCUGGGUGAAAGAGCGAGACUCUGUCUCUA
rnacentral:sRNA from 1 species